rnacentral:rRNA from 1 species
AUUGAACGCUGGCGGCAGGCCUAACACAUGCAAGUCGAGCGGAUGAAGGGAGCUUGCUCCUGGAUUCAGCGGCGGACGGGUGAGUAAUGCCUAGGAAUCUGCCUGGUAGUGGGGGAUAACGUCCGGAAACGGGCGCUAAUACCGCAUACGUCCUGAGGGAGAAAGUGGGGGAUCUUCGGACCUCACGCUAUCAGAUGAGCCUAGGUCGGAUUAGCUAGUUGGUGGGGUAAAGGCCUACCAAGGCGACGAUCCGUAACUGGUCUGAGAGGUUGAUCAGUCACACUGGAACUGAGACACGGUCCAGACUCCUACGGGAGGCAGCAGUGGGGAAUAUUGGACAAUGGGCGAAAGCCUGAUCCAGCCAUGCCGCGUGUGUGAAGAAGGUCUUCGAAUUGUAAAGCACUUUAAGUUGGGAGGAAGGGCAGUAAGUUAAUACCUUGCUGUUUUGACGUUACCAACAGAAUAAGCACCGGCUAACUUCGUG